rnacentral:misc_RNA from 1 species
GAAAGCCGUAGAGGCCCGUCUCUUUGAUUGAGGGAGCUUUAGAUGUUGAAAUGUGGAUGAAGUUGGAGUUGGCUCGUACAUGAGCAACGGCGGACUUGCGAAUUAGAGCGUGCAUGACGACUGGCGUUCGCCGUAGACGAAACUGCGAACUCUAAACAACGAGGUUCUGCUCCUCUUCUUCGCUCAAUCUGCAGAAGGGGCCGGCUGUAAUC